CCCAAAUUCCGCGAGUCAGGUGACCCGGCCCCGGGCUCUGGCCGGGACCUGCGGGGGGUGCUCUCCGCCCUCCAGCCCCCGGCGCAUCUCCCCGGCCCGCGCGUCCCGGCUGUUCGUGGCUUGCUUUUAGUCUCCAGGGAUCGUGGGACCCUUCUCCGCGGAUCUGUUUCAUCCUCUUAACCUGAAGUUAGUGGAAGCCCCCCACGCUCUGACCCCUGGGUUUAGGACGGAUGAGAUCCCAGAUACUGUUUAUUUCUGAUUAACUUCCAAAGUCGUUUGUGGUAGUGGCGAGUGUUUCAAAGUCACGGAUCCAAGCCCCUUCUGACCAGAAUCUAAAAGGGAGUCAGCAGAGAUUUCUCCAAGGGUAAGAGGCUACUACAAUAUUCUUCUCAGUGAGGUUGGGCACCUGCCGAGGAAACGAGGCUAAGAUCUUUGGCAAUAAAUACAUUCCGAAGACCUGCAUCAGUGCCCUGCUUGCAGAGUGUGGCAGAGAAGCUAAGCAUCUCAAACUCGGCAUUACAGACCUGAGAAGGCUGUAAGACUCUCUGGUCCAUCAUCACACGGGAGGAAUAUAAAUCCUCAGAGCUGUGCUGGGCAGCAUGUUAGCUGCUAGCCACACAUGGCUGCUGGACACUUGAAAUGUUGCUAGUCUGAAUUGUGCUGUGCUGUAAAUGCAAUUCACACCAGAUUUCAAAGAGUGCAGAAACUGAGUUUCAAGUAGAUCCAGCAACUUGCCCAAGUCGUAAAACCAGAAAGAGUGGAGCCGAGAAUCAAAGCUUGGAUGCCUGACCAGAGUGGACCUUUGAAACACUCCUCUGUAUAUUGUCUUCAGGCUGCCUGUAUUUACAAACUCUGAUAUUGACCUCAUUACUUCUCCCCGUUCUGCAGGCAGAAGACUGCUAUGAGAGCACUUAGGACCCAAGCGACAUCAGCCUUGGAACAGGCAAAUAAAAAUGGAAAGCUAAUCUUGGUGGCCUUCUCUUCUUCAAAAGGACAUUUUUAAGAUCCAAAUAGCCAUCAGUAUGGCCAAGUUGGUUGUUCGGCUAUGCAUAUCAGAAAUUCCAUAAAAUAUUCUCCAAUUACGGUGCUGGAGGAGGGUAUUAUGAGGAGUUCAUGAACAUCAAGAAGGCAGUUAAUGGGUUAUCAGAAGACUAAGAGAAGUGGUUUCCACAAAGCACAGAGUCAGAAGCAAUAAUGUGGUGUUUGGAGCCACAAGUACACCAGGUGCAGCUUUUCUUGCUUCCUCUACAGUGGAUCACAAUCUUGGCAGCCCAUUUAGAAUCACCUGCUUUUAAAAGUCACCAACUGCCUUGGCCCCAUACCCUAGGAUACUUACUAAAGUGGUCUGGUGUGGGGCCCAAGCAUUGGUAUUUUACAGUCUUUCCCUAGAUCAUCAUUAAAUGGGGCCACUGCUUUAUUGGUUGUCCCAGCCAUGUCAGAGCAUCUGGCUCUUGACUUAGCAUUGCAAGCAGAGGGAAAUUAGGUAAAAAGGGUGGGGUGGUUCUUGCCAUGGACCUUGCAAAAGUUGAUGCUCCAGAAAGAUUUCUUGACAGAGUGAUUCUAAACUGAGUUGCUAUUUUUGUUGGUAUCUCUCUGGUACAUUUGUUUUCUAUUAUGGAGUUAAACCUGCCCUCUGAGAUUCCUGUUUUCUUCAUUGAGGUCAAUUUCUGCUUAUGAGAUAUUUUGUGUUCUUUCUUAUCCAAAUAGUGCACCGGUAGUAAAUCUGUGUACUACUUUUGCUGAUGAAUUAUUUCAAAUCUAUUAAUGGUUUCUUGUCUAUGUUUUUCUUUUCCUUUUUUUUUUUGAGAUGGAGUCUCGCUCUGUCACCCAGGCUGGAGUGCAAUGGCAUGAUCUCAGCUCACUGCAAUUUCCGCCUCCCAGGUUCAAGCGACUCUCCUUCCUCAGCCUCCUGGGUAGCUAGGACUACAGGCAUCCACCACUACGCCUGGAUAAUUUUUGUAUUUUUUUUUAGUAGAGACAGAGAUUUCACCAUAUUGGCCAGGCUGGACUCAAACUCCUGACCUUGUGAUUCACCUGCCUCAGCCUCCCAAAGUGCUGGGAUUACAGGCAUGAGCCACUGCGCCCAGCCUUUUUUUUUUUUUUUUGGAUAAGUUCUUGCUCUGUCGCCCAGGCUGGAGUGCAGUGGUGCGACCUCGGCUUACUGCAACCCCAUGCUCAAGUGAUCCUCUCACUUCAGCCUCCCCAGUAGCUGGGACUACAGGUACAUGCCACCACACCCGGCUUUGUUCAUGUUUUUCAAAGGCUCUGUAUCCAUUUGGCUUCUGUUAUUCAUUUUCAUUCUUCCAUUUUUUGUUUGCUUUCUUUAAAAUCCUUAGUAGACUACAUAGUUUUAAAAAUCUAUCUUUGUACUGUAUGAGUGAACAUUUUUUUUCUUUUCUUUUUUUUUUUUUUUUUGAGAUGGUCUCACUCUGUCACCUAAGCUGGAGCACAGUGGCACACAACUCACUGUAGCCUCGACCUCCUGGGCUCAACUGAUCCUCUUGCCUCAGCCUCCCAAGUAGCUGGGACCACAAGUAUAUGCCACCAUGUUCACUUAAAUUUUUUAUUUUUUGUAGUGACAGGGUCUCACCAUGUUGCCUACGCUAGUCUCAAGCUCCUGGGCUCAAGUGACCCUCUUGCCUUGGCCUUCCCAAGUACUGGGAUUAUAGGUAUGAGCCACCACACUCGACCAUGAACACAGUUUUAAGAGACACUUUUCACAGCAGAUUGGUCAUGCUUAAGACAUAUGGCUGUACUACUGUGAAGAUAUGUAUCUAUAUCUAUAUAUAUAGUUUUUUUUUUUUUGAGACAGAGUCUCACUCUGUCACCAAGGCUAGAGUGCAGUGGGGCAAUCUCAGCUCACUGCAGCCUCUGCCUCCUGGUUCAAGCGAUUCUCCUGCCUCAUCCUUCCGAGUAGCUGGGAUUACAGGUGCACACCACAAUGCCCAUCUAAUUUUUGUAUUUUAGUAGAGAUGGGGUUUCACCAUGUUGGCCAGGCUGGUCUCGAACUCCUGACCUCAAGUGAUCUGCCUACCUCAGCCUCCCAAAGUGCUGGGAUUAUAGGUGUGAGCUACCAUGCCCGGCCUACUGUGAAGAUACUGAAAACAUUCCACAAGUUCUUUGUUUUGCUUUAAUACAAACUUUUGUAACUAUCCAGCUAUGCACUUUAAGCAGGUUUCUCACAUUCAGGAUGAGAAUUCUUCUAUCUAAAUUAUUAUUCUUUUUUUGCCUUCUCUUUCAAAAAGAGCCAUGUAGUUUUUUGUCUUAGACUUCUGGUUUGAGUUCCAGAAUAAAAAGAUGAAGGCUGUGAAAAUGUGCUUGACUAUACUGUGACAUGCCAGAACAUGGAACCAGAAAAGAGGAGAGGGAUGGAACUGUGGGAGUCAGGGAGACCGCUGUGAAAAUAUUCCUUCCACAUGAAUAGCAUUCCUUCUAAAUGAUUAGAGUUUAGAGUGGAAGGUCCCAGAAGCCACCAGAAGCAGGAAGAGAGGCCAUGCGACUUCCACUUGUGGAUUCCUGGAAGGCUGAGAACACAAAAGCCAAGAAGACAUACUGACUUCAGGAUAAUAGACCACAAAAGUGGGGAGGGAAGAUUCUGGUGUUAAGGAUAUCCAGGUCACUUUUGGCCAACCAGAGGGAAGUUUGUCCUUUCAGAUUAUGUAACAGGGAAGGGAAUUUUGGAAGCCCUUGGAGAGAACCAGAAAACAAAGUAAGGUGGCACCGAGUGAGCCUGGGAAACUUGCCACCAAAAGACUCAGGGAUCAAGGUCAAAGAGAGGGUUGUAGAGGUCUGAGUGGGUCUCGUGUUUGCUUUGUGGGUUUCUGGGAAGCAUUUUGAAAUAUUUUUACUUAAACUGUGUGUCUUAAGAGGACGCUCUCCAUUUACAUCCAACAUAACAUGCUCAUAUGAACAAAUGUAAAUUAUGAGAACAUCCUGUGUGCUCCUUCUCAUCUGGAUUCUCCCUUCCUGACCACACUGCCUUCUGCUCCAAGUCUGGCCAAGCUGAUUUGCAUGUUUGUUUGAGAGGGAUGGAAAAUCAUUAGAGUUUAGAGUGGUAUUUUGGAUAAAUUUUUGAAUGGUGUGAGUGAGACCAGUUCUGCAGAUGGUCAGUGAGAACAAAGAAGGCACACCCAGGCAGGGGUUCUCCUAGCAUGGCCUCAAGAGUGGGCUUCUACACCCCCAAGCAGUUGUCAGCUACUGGGCAGCAUUCAUGGUGAAAAUCACUUUUAUUUUCUCUUUUUAAAAAUAUUGUAUUUAUUUAUUAGUAUUGUUAUUAUUUACCUUGUGGGACUUUGUUUGUUUGUUUCUAUAGAGAUAGGGUCUCACUUUGUUGCCCAGGCUUAUCUCGAACUUCUGAGUGCAAGCGAUCCUCCCACCUUGACUUCCCAAAGUCCUGGGAGCCCCCGUGUCUAGACUAAAAUGUAUUUUUUAUUAACUAUGUUUUGAGACAGGGUCUUGCUAUGUCACCCAGGCUGGUCUCAAACUCCUGGGCUCAAUGGAUUUUCCCACCUCAGCCUCCCAAGUAGCUGGGACAACACGCAUGCACCACUGUGCCUGACUCUUCUCUUUGUUUUUAAAUAUGGACUAAAGAAAAAAAAUGAAAGAAUUUAUUUUAAGAAGGGAAACAAGAAGUCCUCUAUCAGGUAGUAAAUUUAAACCCCAGUUUCUCCACUUAGUAGCUGUGUUUUUGGGGGCAGAUUACUUAAUCUCCCUUGGCUUCAUUUUCCUUAUCUGCCAAAUGGGGGUAACAUUAGUACCUGCCUCUUGGGUUAUUUUGGAGAUUAAAUAAUUAAUAUAUACGAAGCCUGUACAAUAGUGUCUGGCACAGAGUAAGAACUAAAUAAAUAAUAUCAGUAAAUAUUACUAACAUUGAGAAGCAUAAGACAGUUGUAAAGUCUGAGGGGAAAUAAGAGAGUGGUAUCUAUGGAAAUUAAUUCAACUGUCUUUAAAAAGGUCAUAGAUCAAAGAUUAACAUUUCUAAGAUGCCAUUUGCUAAGUUUUAAAUGGAAACUUUAUUUAUUGACUGGUAUGUAAGAUACAACAUUGCACAC
rnacentral:lncRNA from 1 species